rnacentral:rRNA from 1 species
UACGGAGGGGGGCUAGCGUUGUUCGGAAUUACUGGGCGUAAAGCGCACGUAGGCGGCUUUGUAAGUUAGAGGUGAAAGCCCGGGGCUCAACUCCGGAACUGCCUUUAAGACUGCAUCGCUAGAAUUGUGGAGAGGUGAGUGGAAUUCCGAGUGUAGAGGUGAAAUUCGUAGAUAUUCGGAAGAACACCAGUGGCGAAGGCGACUCACUGGACACAUAUUGACGCUGAGGUGCGAAAGCGUGGGGAGCAAACAGG